CCAGAACCCGUGAGACACCUUGGGAAGCUGCCCACGUUCCUGGAGACCUCCCUGGCUAGCCGCCAGCUCUUCCCCGGGUGGCAGCAGGCAGCGCCGACUGAGCAGGCACGCAAAGGCGCUGGGAAAGCUUUGAUGUCAACAGAGGUAGGCAGGGCAGGCCCCGGUGGAAAACUGUGAAGUCAGCAGUUAUCUCUGGCACUCCUCCCUUCCCCUAGCUUCCCAUUUCUCCACCCAUUUCCCCCCUCUUUGCUUCCAGCUUCUCUUUUCCCAGGGGGACCCUGGAAUAUAUGAAAACCCGCUGUCACCAGAUAGGAGCGGCCCCUCCCCCUUCCCAGGCUCCAACUCCCGAAGUCUGCUCCCACCCCAAGUCUAAAACAAACAAAGACGAGUCCCAGGUUCCAUACAUUUCCUAAGAAAACCAGUGCAAAAACCCUGCCCUUUGUGCGCCCACAGUCAAACCCUGAGGAGUUUGGGGCCUCAAGUUUGAAGUGGUCUUUCUGUCUCCUGGGGCUUUAGGAGGAGUCCAAAGCGCCUCAGCUGCUUGGUAUGGCUGAGAUUUAAACCACAAAUUAUAAAAUGAUAAAUUCGCUGCUCAAGUCUCUUCCAGGAAAGACCAUGUUGUCUAGAUAAAGUUACAACCUCAUGGACGUAGGAGCCGGUCUAGCUGCUGACUAAUCCUCACACUCAUUUUCCUGCCUGAGAGAUUUUUUUUCUCUCUCUCUACUUUCUCUGUUUCUGCCCGAGUGACCUCGGGCAGGGAAACCAGGGGCUGUUCAGCCGUGGAGCUCCGAGCUUUAUCGUAUAACGGCUGCUUUCGUUUCGUGAGGAGGAAGUUUGGGAAACAGCUUUGUUCUUGGGCGCUUAAGUGCUGAGAACAGUGAGAAAGUCUUCCCGUGGGUAGCUGCGAGCGCUUCGAACACAGGCUGGAAUGUGAGGGUCUGUUCGGUGACAGAGCGGGACAAGCAAUAAGGCCGCGUGCACGCCUUGUAAGAGCUCCCUGCUGGAGCUUUGGCAAACCCAGGGAGAGAUGGAAUGCUUGUCCAAGGCAGCGUGUGACCUGACCUGCUUGCAGGCUCAGUCACACUGACCUCCUUUUGACUACCUGGGGCUGCGGGAAGCUGCUCCGUCAUGCUUCCAGCUUCUCCAAUACCAUGCCUCAGUUACACAACCAUGACGACGUUUCUCCAAGGCCACUGCUGCCGAGAGGACCGGCGGGGUCAUGAGUCAUAAUCACUUCAUCAUUUCCUCCUAGAUUUGAGUCCUGCUGAUUUUACCCUUUGGGUCUUCCAUCCUCCUUUCCCUGUUGUCCUUGGGUCCCGGGUGGAUCCAGUGUCACUCCAUGUUAUCAUCCACCCCUCCCACCCCAGGCGCCACCACAGCUGCUCCUGUUUCUGCUUUUCUUGAAGUCAGCCCUGCUGUCAUUACUGCUGCUUUUUCUGGGAUCCUUCAAGUUGUGGAGAGAGUUCUUUUCCUGUGAUUAUAGUUCUUUCUUCCAAU